UACGGAGGGUGCAAGCGUUAAUCGGAAUUACUGGGCGUAAAGCGUGCGCAGGCGGUUUUGUUAAGUCCGUUGUGAAAGCCCCGAGCUCAACUUGGGAAUUGCAGUGGAUACUGGCAGGCUGGAGUACGGUAGAGGAAGGUGGAAUUCCCGGUGUAGCAGUGAAAUGCGUAGAUAUCGGGGAGGAACACCAGUGGCGGAAGGCGCCUUCUGGACCAGUAC
rnacentral:rRNA from 1 species